AUAUUUGUCGUAAUUACACUUCUCAAAUACAAUGGAGGUCUAUGGAGCUUUUGCUUUGGCUUCGAUUAGCUCAAUUUCUCCAUCUCUUCACUCCUCUCAUCAACCUACUUCGGUGUGUGGAUUCAGAAGAGUUAGGGUUUGGUGUGUUAAAACCGACGUCAAUGGCUCUUCUCAAUCUCUUAAGCAAAUUAGAGGAGGUUGUGAAGAACAAGAACAAGUCUCUUCAACCAUACGAGUAAAGGUUUAGGUCAAGCAUGGGAACAAUACUACUGAUAUACUUCACUCUCUCCACGGCCAGGCACAAUGAAGACGACAAUUUUCUCGAUGCAUAGUGAAUAAGGAAAAACAACUCCGUAAAACUACAAUACACAAGUUGCGAAUCUAACAUACCUUGCUUUAAUGGUGUUUGCAUGCUCUGCAAAUUUCUCCUUUAUUUUUCCUU